GUGCUUGCUUUGUCAGUAAAUAUACUAAAAGUUAAACAAUGCAAAGAAGACUAACAUGGCCUCUGUGCAAGGAUAACCCAUAAAUUCAUGAAAUGUUCCAUAUUUUA
ensembl:snRNA U6 U6 spliceosomal RNA